rnacentral:rRNA from 1 species
AACGAACGCUGGCGGUAUGCUUAACACAUGCAAGUCGAACGAACGAACCUAGCUUGCUAGGUAAGUUAGUGGCAAACGGGUGAGUAACACGUGGGAAUCUACCCAGUAGUACGGGAUAACAGUUGGAAACGACUGCUAAUACCGUAUGGUAUCGAGAGAUUAAAGAUUUAUCGCUACUGGAUGAGCCCGCGUCAGAUUAGGUAGUUGGUGGGGUAAUGGCCUACCAAGCCCGAGAUCUGUAGCUGGUCUGAGAGGAUGAUCAGCCACACUGGAACUGAGACACGGUCCAG